rnacentral:lncRNA from 1 species
CAAUUUAACAAGUGAGCAUACCUAUGAACAAGGUGAGAAUCCACUCCAAUUCCUCCUCCCAAGCAACUUUUAAGAAAAUUGACUUUUAAUUCCAAUAGCAACUCUAAGCUUCUCAUGAUUGACUUGAUGCACGUAGGUUGAAGCACGAUCAAAUGAUACUCUUCGAGCUCCUUCAUGGUUGAUCCCUAGUAAUAACAUAUUGGCACAGAGAUUAAGAUUCAUCUAUCUCAUAUAUGCACGAAGCUAAGAAAAACUUAACUCAUUCUGAAUAAGUAAAAAAACAUU